GAGGGAUGUUGAAGGACUCCAGGACUCCACGGCUGUAAAGAGGGCCCCAGUAGAAGUGAAGUGAUGAGACACAGCUCCAGAAGUUCCAUGAUGACGAGGGACGGAGUCCACCACGAGUGAACGAUACCCAGAGACGAUCAGAAAGAGGAACGACAUUAUAGGGAGCAUAGAGGUCAUUUAAAUGUGCUUCAGUACAAAUGACCCUACAGAUACUGUAUGUGUACACAAAUACUCAUUAGGAUCAGACAAGAUAAGAUCUAUUUUAUUCAUCCUGUAGGAAAUUACUUUCCCAGAGUAUAAUAAACAAUAAACAAAGGUUAGUGGAAUAUACACAAUUACACAGAGGUUAGUAGUAAAUUAUAUAAAGUAAAUGAUAUAGCAAAUAUUUGUAAAAAAUGUGAUUCAUGAGGGAAUCAAUCAACAAUGUUUCUGUGUUUUUCCUUCACAGCUCCUUCCUAGACCCCAAACAAUUAAAAAAAAAUACAAGAGACGAGGGAAGAGUCCUAGAAAAUGAGCCCCAGCACCAGGAUAUGAGAAAAAUGAUGUAAACUGAUCCAGGACCAGCACAUGUCUGACAGCUCGACUAACAGCAGCUAACUCCAUGAGUUUUGCUCUCUUCAAGAUGCCAACAAUCAGAAGGAUCAGAUGAGGACAGGGAGCCAGAUGAAGGACGGCCCACAGGAUGGGAAUCCACAUUAAUGAAGGAAUGCUUAUUGUAGUGACAUGGAAGAGGGAUGCAGGAGCUGGAAGACAUCAGCGAAGCUACACAAGGAAAGACGACCAUUCAUGCUCACAGUCACACGUUCAGAAUCACAGAUGAACCUUCCAUGCAUGUGUUUGGAUGGCAGGUAGAAGCUGGAGCAUCUGCAGAGAACCCACCCAGGACAAAGAAACAGUGAGAGGAGCCCCAGGAUGAUCAAACAUGGAAGAAUCAACCUCAGAUGAGACGACGAAAAGCCCCAAACACACAAGAAGAGUCCGACCCAGGAAAAGAAAGAACAGCAGCUCUGAUUAACUCCAAAGCUCAGUACAAGCAGCUGCAGGAUCUCUGUAGCUUCCUUCACCCCAACCGGUCCAGACAGAUGGCCGUCCUCCCUGCACCUGGUUCUGCUGGAGGGUUUUUCCUUCCUCUCUGCUAACAGGGAGUCUUUUCCUCCCGACUGUCGCCCAGUUCUUGCUCAAAGGGAAUCCAAAGGAAACUCUGGAUUUGUUGGGUUUCCCUGUUGAUAAUGGUUCUGAUGAAAAUAUACCAAAAAGAGAGAACUUCAAAUAAAAAGUCUGUGUUUCUUUUAAAGUUUAA
ensembl:lncRNA